GCGGGCGGCCGCACCAUGCGAGCUGAGGGCUGGGUCUUUGCGGGCGAGGUGAGAGGUUCGUGCGUUCAACUGGCCUACAAAGUCCCAGUUCUCGGCUCCCAGCACCGGCGGCCGGGCGC
rnacentral:pre_miRNA from 14 species